GAUGAACGCUGGCGGCGUGCCUAAUACAUGCAAGUCGAGCGAACAGACGAGAGUGCUUGCACUCUCUGACGUUAGCGGCGGACGGGUGAGUAACACGUGGGUAACCUACCUAUAAGACUGGGAUAACUUCGGGAAACCGGAGCUCAUACCGGAUAAUAUUUAGCUUCGCAUGAAGCAAUAGUGAAAGACGGUUCUGCUGUCACUUAUAGAUGGACCCGCGGUGUAUUAGCUAGUUGGUGAGGUAACGGCUCACCAAGGCAACGAUACAUAGCCGACCUGAGAGGGUGAUCGGCCACACUGGGACUGAAACACGGCCCAGACUCCUACGGGAGGCAGCAGUAGGGAAUCUUCCGCAAUGGACGAAAGUCUGACGGAGCAAUGCCGCGUGAGUGAAGAAGGUUUUCGGAUCGUAAAACUCUGUUGUAAGGGAAGAACAAGUACGUUAGUAACUGAACGUACCUUGACGGUACCUGACCAGAAAGCCACGGCUAACUACGUG
rnacentral:rRNA from 1 species